GCUGAUAUGGCCGAGUCGUUAAGGCGAGUGAUUCGAAUCUAUCUCGUUAUCACUUGGGCAUUGCCCGCGUAGGUUCAAAUCCUACUGUCAGCG